rnacentral:misc_RNA from 1 species
UCUCCGUUGGUGAACCAGCGGAGGGAUCAUAACAGAGUUCCACAACUCCCAACCCCUGCGAACCGUACCCCAGUUGGUUCUCGUUGCCUCCGGGCGUCGGGCCCCCGGCGCCACCGCCGGGGCCCCCGCCAGCGGCGGCGAGCCCCCUGAACCUUUUUGUCUUGAACAGACCGUCUGAGCAAACAAACAAAUGAAUCAAAACUUUCAACAACGGAUCUCUUGGUUCUG